CUGCAAUUUUCUGAUGUUAAACUCAGAAAAAAACCGAAAUUCUUGUUCUUGGCCCCAAAAACCUUAGAGACUCACUGUCUAAAGAUAUAGUUACUCUAGAUGGCAUUACCUUGGCCUCUAGCACCACUGUCAGGAAUCUUGGAGUUAUCUUUGAUCAGGAUUUGUCAUUUAACUCCCACAUAAAGCAGACCUCUAGGACUGCCUUCUUUCAUUUACGUAAUAUUACAAAAAUUAGACACAUACUAUCACAGACAGAUGCAGAAAAACUAAUCCAUGCAUUUGUUACUUCAAGGCUGGAUUACUGCAACUCUUUAUUAUCAGGUUGCCCCAAUAAGUCCAUUAAAACACUCCAAUUAAUUCAGAACGCUGCAGCACGAGUACUGACAGGAACUAGAAAAAGAGAUCACAUCUCUCCUGUACUAGCUACUCUGCAUUGGCUCCCUAUAAAAUGUAGAAUUGAAUUUAAAAUCCUCCUCCUCACCUACAAAGUUCUUCAUGGUCAGGCCCCUUCAUAUCUUAAAGAGCUCAUAGUACCCUAUUACCCCACUAGAACACUACGUUCUCUGAAUGCUGGGCUACUUGUGGUUCCUAUAGUAUCUAAAAGUAGAACAGGAGCCAGAGCCUUCAGUUACCAAGCUCCUCUCCUGUGGAACCAGCUUCCAGUUGUGGUUCGGGAGGCAGACGCCCUCACCACAUUCAAGAGUAGGCUUAAGACAUUCCUCUUUGAUAAAGCUUAUAGUUAGGGCUGGAUCAGGUGAGUCCUGAACCAUCCCUUAGUUAUGCUGCUAUAGGCCUAGACUAUCGGGGGAUUUCCCAUGGUGCACUGAGCUCCUCCCUUCCUCUCUCUUUCUGCACUCAUUCAUGUCCCAUUAAUGCAUGUUACUAACUUCACUUCUUCCCCGGAGUUCUUGUGCUUUCUCGUCUCGCAGGUUCUUGUCGAUCCUGGUGGAGCCUCCUGCCAUGGUCCUGCUAGAUUGCCAUUGCCAAUACUGUUGUUACUGUGCACCUGUCUGUCUGUCUGUCUCUCGCUCUCUCUCUCUCUGCCUCUCUCUCUCUCUCUCUCUCUCUCUCUCUCUCUCUCUCACCCCAACUGGUCAAGACAGACGACCACCCACCUAGAGCCGGAGGAUCUGUCCUAGGUUUCUGCCUUUUAACAGGCAGUUUUUCCUUGCCCUUGUCUCCAAGGUCUUGCUCAUGGUGGUACUGUUGGGUCUCUGUAAAUAAUGUUAAAGAGUUCGGUCUAGACCUGCUCUAUUUGAAAAGUGUCCUGAGAUAACUUCUGUUAUGAAUUGGCGCUAUACAAAUAAAAUUGAAUUGAAUUGAAUUGAAUUGAA